rnacentral:lncRNA from 1 species
CAGAAACAAAUCUGAAGUUCCAUGAUCUGGUAUUUCCUGUUUCAUUUUAUUAUGAGUAACUUUUAUAUUGUUUCUAAAGUAUAUUCUAUCCAUUUAUCUGUCGCUCUCUGGUAAUGAGAGGUUCACAAUUGGAGAAAUGGGCUCAUCUAACCACUGUGGUUUAGUGAAAUGUAAGAUGUAUCUAACUUUAUUUGGGGGGCUGAGGGUCUGGUAAAAGGUCUUGUAGAUGUGGAUAACACCUCCACACAAGAAGGCUGACUUUAUCCUGAGUAUGGAUCCAAGGACUGAUCACUGCCUGAAGCAUACAUCCAACACCAGUGACCAGGAGUGGAACUUAAAUCUUACCCUUAAGGACCCAAGUCCUCAUCUCUCUGGAAGAGAGAAACCUGCUAUCCUUCACUAAUUGCCAAGCUGUGGUCCUGGUACACUCAGGACCAUGAGCGGGAUCUUAAUGAGGAACCCAAGUGUGCCUGUGUGAGUGGAGAAGUGUGCAGCUGCACUACUUGGUGAACCCCCCUUCAUCUUAAGCAGCCUAUGACUGAAAGAGCAAGGAGGAGCAAGUGUCUGCCUCUUACCAUUUCUUUGUGGACAUUGAGAGGGUGAGAUGAUGGCUGGUGUGUGUUGAGG